rnacentral:rRNA from 1 species
UACGUAGGGUGCGAGCGUUGUCCGGAAUUACUGGGCGUAAAGAGCUCGUAGGUGGUUUGUCGCGUUGUUCGUGAAAACCGGGGGCUUAACCCUCGGCGUGCGGGCGAUACGGGCAGACUGGAGUACUGCAGAGGAGACUGGAAUUCCUGGUGUAGCGGUGGAAUGCGCAGAUAUCAGGAGGAACACCGAUGGCGAAGGCAGGUCUCUGGGCCAUUACUGACGCUGAGAAGCGAAAGCAUGGGGAGCGAACAGG